UGGGGAAUAUUGGACAAUGGGCGCAAGCCUGAUCCAGCCAUACCGCGUGGGUGAAGAAGGCCUUCGGGUUGUAAACUGCUUUUGUACGGAGCGAAAAGGUCUGCCCUAAUACGGUGGGCUCAUGACGGUACCGUAAGAAUAAGCACCGGCUAACUUCGUGCCAGCAGCCGCGGUAAUACGAAGGGUGCAAGCGUUACUCGGAAUUACUGGGCGUAAAGCGUGCGUAGGUGGUGGUUUAAGUCUGCUGUGAAAGCCCUGGGCUCAACCUGGGAAUUGCAGUGGAUACUGGAUCACUAGAGUGUGGUAGAGGGAUGCGGAAUUUCUGGUGUAGCAGUGAAAUGCGUAGAGAUCAGAAGGAACAUCCGUGGCGAAGGCGGCAUCCUGGGCCUGUACUGACGCUCAUGCACGAAAGCGUGGGGAGCAAACA
rnacentral:rRNA from 1 species